rnacentral:rRNA from 1 species
AUACGUAGGGGGCGAGCGUUGUCCGGAAUGAUUGGGCGUAAAGGGCGCGUAGGCGGCCCGGUAAGUCUGGAGUGAAAGUCCUGUUUUUAAGAUGGGAAUUGCUUUGGAUACUGUCGGGCUUGAGUGCAGGAGAGGGAAGUGGAAUUCCCAGUGUAGCGGUGAAAUGCGUAGAGAUCGGGAGGAACACCAGUGGCGAAGGCGGGUAACUGGACUGCAACUGACGCUGAGGCGCGAAAGUGUGGGGAGCAAACAGGAUUAGAUACCCUGGUAGUCCACACUGUAAACGAUGAAUGCUAGGUGUAAGAGGUAUCGACCCCUUUUGUGCCGGAGUCAACACAAUAAGCAUUCCGCCUGGGGAGUACGGCCGCAAGGUUGAAACUCAAAUGAAUUUACGGG